rnacentral:sRNA from 1 species
AUGUUAUUGGUGGCGCAGUAUCCUAGUCAAAGCGCGCCGGUUUCGAAGAAGGGCCUAAAAAUCCUUUUAAGGGCAUAUCGAUGAAGUCCCUGGUGCUUGCUUUUUUCGCCCAGAUCAGGGUGGGUGCUGGGGGUUAAGGUCUCCGGGCGAGGUGUAACGGCAUAUACCGACCGACCCGGUUUCCGUGGAGACCUGCUCUUGUGCGACAGCCGUUCCGUAUCUGCGGGUACCCGGACUGCGUACGAAGCAGGAUUGAACCUGCAUUGCGGUGCACAGAAUCGUGUGCUGUGUGUAGCGUAGCCUGCCUUGCGUGGGUAUGUGGGAAUAGGGGAGCGACGCGUCAGCCGCCGUGGCCGCGGCGCUUGGCGAUAUUGCCCCUUGAAACCAUGCCUGCAAAAGAGGAUAGAGCCGGUGCGUAAUGCUGUGGAAAACACCUAGGCUGACUGUUCAUUCAGGGCAUGCAGAGGAUUACAGUGCGGACUAAGUGGCAAUCGGGUACCGGAUGCGGCAACGCUCCGGCUUUGGCUUUAAAUGGAAACAGCCGUCCGGCGACGGGCGGCAGCGAUUGGGGAAAUCCAACCCGACCUAAGCCGCAGGCUUUACUCUGUCUGCUGCCACCAUUCUUUAGAA